CAGGCUUACCAUGCAAGUCGAACGGUAGCAGGAGGAAGCUUGCUUUCUUGCUGACGAGUGGCGGACGGGUGAGUAAUGCUUGGGAAUCUGGCUUAUGGAGGGGGAUAACUACUGGAAACGGUAGCUAAUACCGCGUAAUAUCGAGAGAUUAAAGGGUGGGACUUUCGGGCCACCUGCCAUAAGAUGAGCCCAAGUGGGAUUAGGUAGUUGGUGGGGUAAAGGCCUACCAAGCCUGCGAUCUCUAGCUGGUCUGAGAGGAUGGCCAGCCACACUGGAACUGAGACACGGUCCAGACUCCUACGGGAGGCAGCAGUGGGGAAUAUUGCACAAUGGGGGGAACCCUGAUGCAGCCAUGCCGCGUGAAUGAAGAAGGCCUUCGGGUUGUAAAGUUCUUUCGGUGAUGAGGAAGGCAGGUAUUUUAAUAGAAUACUUGAUUGACGUUAGUCACAGAAGAAGCACCGGCUAACUCCGUGCCAGCAGCCGCGGUAAU
rnacentral:rRNA from 1 species